rnacentral:rRNA from 1 species
CAGCCGCCGCGGGAAUACAGAGGGUGCGAGCGUUAAUCGGAUUUACUGGGCGUAAAGCGUGCGUAGGCGGCUUUUUAAGUCGGAUGUGAAAUACCUGAGCUUAACUUAGGAAUUGCAUUCGAUACUGGGAAGCUAGAGUAUGGGAGAGGAUGGUAGAAUUCCAGGUGUAGCGGUGAAAUGCGUAGAGAUCUGGAGGAAUACCGAUGGCGAAGGCAGCCAUCUGACCUAAUACUGACGCUGAGGUACGAAAGCAUGGGGAGCAAACAGGAUUAGAGACCCCUGUAGUCCCUGUCUCUUAUAC